GUGAACAUCGUCCAAUGGUAGGAUGCCUAAGCGUCACUUAGGUGACACGGGUUCGAUCCCCGUUGUUCUCG